AACGGCGACGACUACUACGGCUGGGUUAGCGGAGACGAUUAGACGCAAUUCCGACACGGCGGCAGUCGUACGUUUGUUCACGCGCCCACCGCGAUAUUUUUACCUUUACACUGAACACCACCACCAUCACAACCAUUCACACACGUUUUUAUUAAUAACAUCACACUCACACACACAAGUACCAACGCCGUUCCUUCGGGUUGUUUAGUUUUAUUAUUGUUUGUACGUUUUAUCCGUCGUCCGUUACCCUCCUUUAUCGUGAGUGUGACCUCCCCAGAAAUCGACCCCGAGUUUUCCCUGCCCCAGUGGUACCCCCCCAUGUUGGCGCAAGAUUUGGUCGCCGUCAUCGUCGAGCAGCAUUACACCCACCCGGUUGAAUCGUGGAGGCCGUCGCCGUUGGCGGGUUGAAGAGGGCCCGUUGUGGUGCGUACAACGGACCUGAGGCCGCCGGCACCCUCAAGAAACACAGACUGGACGCCGCCACGGCAGCCGCAGUAGCAGCCGCAGCUAUGAAUAUGGCGCCCACAGGCACACCGCCGGCACAACAGCAAACGGCGCAAAGCGCCGUCGACGGGUCUCAAGUCACGGGCUUAUGUAACAACAUCGACCCCUUGGUAUCCGGCGAAGAAGAGGUCAGAACACUAUUCGUUAGUGGCUUGCCAAUGGAUGCUAAGCCAAGAGAAUUAUACUUGUUGUUUCGAGCAUAUGAGGGUUACGAAGGAUCUCUACUGAAAGUGACAAGCAAAAAUGGAAAAACCGCUUCGCCUGUUGGAUUUGUCACUUUCCAAACACGAGCUGGCGCUGAAGCUGCUAAACAAGAUCUUCAGCAGGGCGUCCGGUUCGAUCCCGACAUGCCGCAAACCAUACGGCUAGAGUUCGCUAAAAGCAACACGAAGGUUAGCAAGCCGAAACAGCCCGCCAACGCAAACGUCACGCCCAACACGCACCAAGGCCUGAUGCACCCGCUCACCGGACAUCUAGGUGCUCCGUUUUUCACAGGAGCUCCGGCAGAGCUUUGGCAUCAUCCAUUGGCAUAUGCUGACAUGCCCACUGCUGCCACAGCUACGGCUUUGCAACAUGCCGCACUAGUCCAUCCGGCAUUACAUCCACACCCUCAACAGCCGACGUUGACACUGGGCCCACACGGCCUGCCGUUCCUGCCCUCCCCCGCACUGCCCUCGCCGCCAAACCAGCAGCAGCCCCAGCCACCCUGUUCUACGCUGUUCGUCGCCAACCUUGGACAGUUUGUGUCCGACCACGAGCUUAAAGACAUUUUCGCCAGAACAAGUUUUGGUCAUUCAAAGCAGUCAUUUAAUUACUGGCCAACGGCCUAUAAAUGAGGAGACGUUGAUUAUGAAUAUAAUAGAUGUAUUUAUAUGUAAAAUAAUAAUAAGGGAGUAUGCUGGCCAAAAGAAAUUGGACAACGUCAAUUUCACGUAUACACACAUGCAGUUGAACAACACCUGACAACAACUAGGUAGAUCUUCGAUACCCGCCCAAGUCUAGAUAACGCGCGACACUUCAAAAAAAUUUUUUUUAACCUACCAAAGCCUUAAUGGAGAUAUUAUUACGAUAUUAUUAUUAUUGUAUUACCUAUUUUAAUUUAAAUCAUAAUUACAUAUAAGGCUUUUUCAAUGCUACUGUAUAAUACAGUAUCUAAACACUCUUUGUAUUGCUGUAGAUGAAAAGAGAAAAAAGAAAAAUAAUAAUAAUAUUCAUAUAAUUGUGCCUAAUCUAAUAAUACCUACAAUUUUAUUCCCUACGCUUUGAUUAUAACCUCUACAAUAUUGUCAUAAGAUGCUUUUUUAGUCGUUAGUAGUAUAAUACGAUCUUAAGACUCAUCAAAUCUGUGAUUAUUUCUCAUAAACAUUUUUAUAUAAAUUAAAAGAACAUCUCAUCUCGGUCAUCAACAUUGGUAUCUCGAGUAGUCGUGAUUCAGAUUUUAGCAAUAAUUAAUUAAAAAAAAAAAGAAAAAAAUUCUUAGAGCGCUCACAUACUUUCACUCAA